rnacentral:lncRNA from 1 species
GCAUUAUACGACCGCAGAGGUCAAACCCUGAACAGUUGGGGCAAGUAUGGACACAACAUUCAAGCUUGAUACAGCUCCGAAUUUGGAUUGUGAUUAAAUAGUUGACACAGCAAAGGUUUAUGACACAGAAUGAAUGUGGUCUAAUGAACUUAAUUUUUUUUUGGCUUUUGAGCAAUACACUAUGCUGUUGAAUAUAAAUCCCCUCAAAAAAAUAUUUGAAGAGAAAUUCUUUUUAAUUUCUGAAAUCUGAAAUGAGAAAAACUUUACUCCUUCCCAUUUUUUUCACCUCCCCCAAUCCCUUAUUCCAAAAAUAAUCUCAAUUCAAAUUUCUAAUUAAGUAGGCAACAAUAACUACUCAUUUAAAUACAUCAUAAAGUAUUAAAAUAUAAAAUAACUUACAG